rnacentral:rRNA from 1 species
AGCAGCCGCGGUAAUUCCAGCUCCAAUAGCGUAUAUUAAAGUUGCUGCAGUUAAAAAGCUCGUAGUUGAAUUUCGGGAUCAAUUAACUGGUCGUGCCUAUGGUACGUACUGGUUUUGUUGAUUCCUCUCUUCUGAGGAGCCGCGAUGUCAUUAAUUUGGUGUCGUGGGGAAUCAGGACUGUUACUUUGAAAAAAUUAGAGUGUUUAAAGCAGGCUAACGCUUGAAUACAUUAGCAUGGAAUAAUGAAAUAGGACGUUUGACCCUAUUUUGUUGGUUUUUAGGAUCGACGUAAUGAUUAAUAGGGAUAGUUGGGGGCAUUAGUAUUCAAUUGUCAGAGGUGAAAUUCUUGGAUUUAUUGAAGACUAACUACUGCGAAAGCAUUUGCCAAGGAUGUUUUCAUUAAUCAAGAACGAAAGUUAGGGGAUCGAAGACGAUCAGAUACCGUCGUAGUCUUAACCAUAAACUAUGCCGACUAGGGAUCGGAUGAUAAUUUUUUAAUGACUCAUUCGGCGCCUUACGG